GGAUCUCUUAAAGACUGUUCUCAGUUCGGACUGCAGUCUGCAACUCGACUGCACGAAGCUGGAAUCGCUAGUAAUCGCGGAUCAGCACGCCGCGGUGAAUACGUUCCCGGGCCUUGUACACACCGCCCGUCACACCAUGGAAGUCUGCAAUGCCCGAAGCCGGUGGCCUAACCACUUAUGUGGAAGGAGCCGUCUAAGGCAGGGCAGAUGACUGGGGUGAAGUCGUAACAAGGUACC
rnacentral:rRNA from 1 species